rnacentral:rRNA from 1 species
AUGAGGACGAUCUGCGAUGUGUGCGAGAGCGCGGUGGCGGUGCUCUUCUGCGCGGCCGACGAGGCCGCCCUCUGCCGUCCCUGCGACGAGAAGGUACAUAUGUGUAACAAGCUUGCUAGUCGGCAUGUAAGGGUUGGGCUUGCGGACCCUAAUAAAUUAGUACGCUGUGAUAUAUGUGAAAGUUCUCCUGCUUUCUUCUACUGUGACAUAGAUGGUACAUCACUUUGCCUGAGUUGUGAUAUGGCUGUUCAUGUUGGUGGGAAACGAACCCAUGGAAGAUACUUGCUGCUAAGACAACGAGUCGAAUUUCCAGGAGAUAAACCAGGGCAUAUGGACGAUGUAGCCAUGCAACAGAUGGAGUCUGAAAACCCAAGGGACCAAAAUAAUGCUCAUUCGGUAGAAAAGGAGCAAAUGGUGAACCACCACCACAAUGCCUAUGAUCCGGCCUCAGAUGGCAAUUGCAACGGCCAGGGUGCCAUUGACUCAAAAAUGUUUGAUCUUAAUAUGAGGCCAGCUCGUAAUAAUGGGCAAGGUUCAAGUUCCCAGACUCAUGGAGUGGAUCAUAGCCACAACAACAACCAUGACUCUUCAGGAGUGGUCCCAACAUGCAAUUACGAUGGAGCCACCGACAAGUAA